rnacentral:rRNA from 2 species
CAAGUCGAACGAUGAAGAUUAUUAGACUUCUUCGGAAUGAAAAUAAUUGGAUUAGUGGCGGACGGGUGAGUAACGCGUGAGUAACCUGCCUUACACAAGGGGAUAGCCGUUGGAGACGACGAAUAAUACCCUAUGAAACUAUCACUUCGCAUGAAGCGAUAGUCAAAGUGUUAGCGGUGUAAGACGGACUUGCGUCUGAUUAGCUAGUUGGUGAGAAAAAAGCCCACCAAGGCAACGAUCAGUAGCCGGCUUGAGAGAGUGUACGGCCACAUUGGGACUGAGACACGGCCCAGACUCCUACGGGAGGCAGCAGUGGGGAAUUUUGCACAAUGGGGGAAACCCUGAUGCAGCGACGCCGCGUGAUUUAGAAGGCCUUCGGGUUGUAAAAAUCUUUUGUAUAGGAAGAAAAUGACAGUACUAUACGAAUAAGGUCCGGCUAAUUACGUGCCAGCAGCCGCGGUAAUACGUAAGGACCGAGCGUUGUCCGGAAUCAUUGGGCGUAAAGGGUACGUAGGCGGGUCAUUAAGUUAGAAGUCAAAGGCUAUAGCUCAACUAUAGUAAGCUUCUAAAACUGGAGACCUUGAGUAAUGGAAGGGAAAGUGGAAUUCCUAGUGUAGCGGUGGAAUGCGCAGAUAUUAGGAGGAAUACCGGUGGCGAAGGCGACUUUCUGGCCAUUAACU